rnacentral:rRNA from 1 species
AUUGAACGCUGGCGGUAUGCUUAACACAUGCAAGUCGAACGGCAGCGGGGGCUUCGGCCUGCCGGCGAGUGGCGGACGGGUGAGUAAUGCAUAGGAAUCUGCCUUGUAGUGGGGGAUAACGUGGGGAAACUCACGCUAAUACCGCAUACGACCUACGGGUGAAAGCUGGGGACCUUCGGGCCUGGCGCUAUAAGAUGAGCCUGCGUAGGAUUAGCUAGUUGGUGAGGUAAAGGCUCACCAAGGCGACGAUCCUUAGCUGGUCUGAGAGGAUGAUCAGCCACACUGGGACUGAGACACGGCCCAGACUCCUACGGGAGGCAG